AUUGAACGCUGGCGGCAUGCCUUACACAUGCAAGUCGAACGGCAGCGCGGGAGCAAUCCUGGCGGCGAGUGGCGAACGGGUGAGUAAUACAUCGGAACGUGCCCAAUCGUGGGGGAGUAACGCAGCGAAAGACUGUGCUAAUACCGCAUACGAUCUACGGAUGAAAGCAGGGGAGUCGCAAGACCUUGCGCGAAUGGAGCGGCCGAUGGCAGAUUAGGUAGUUGGUGAGGUAAAGGCUCACCAAGCCUUCGAUCUGUAGCUGGUCUGAGAGGACGACCAGCCACACUGGGACGUGAGACACGGCCCAGACUCCUACGGGAGGCAGCAGUGGGG
rnacentral:rRNA from 1 species